UACGUAGGCAGCAAGCGUUGUUCGGAGUUACUGGGCGUAAAGGGCGCGUAGGCGGCAAUUCAAGUCAUCUGUGAAAUCUCCGGGCUUAACCCGGAACGGUCAGGUGAUACUGUUUUGCUAGAGUGCGGAAGGGGCAAUCGGAAUUCUCGGUGUAGCGGUGAAAUGCGUAGAUAUCGAGAGGAACACCAGAGGUGAAGACGGGUUGCUGGGCCGACACUGACGCUGACAGCGCGAAAGCCAGGGGAGCAAACGGG
rnacentral:rRNA from 1 species